rnacentral:rRNA from 1 species
ACCCCUCGUAAAUAAGCAUAUCAAUAAGCGGAGGAAAAGAAACCAACAGGGAUUGCCCUAGUAACGGCGAGUGAAGCGGCAACAGCUCAAAUUUGAAAUCUGGCCCCCUCGGGGUCCGAGUUGUAAUUUGCAGAGGGUGCUUUGGCGUUGGCUGUGGUCUAAGUUCCUUGGAACAGGACGUCACAGAGGGUGAGAAUCCCGUACGUGGCCGCCAGCCUCCGCCGUGUAAAGCCCCUUCGACGAGUCGAGUUGUUUGGGAAUGCAGCUCUAAAUGGGAGGUAAAUUUCUUCUAAAGCUAAAUAUUGGCCAGAGACCGAUAGCGCACAAGUAGAGUGAUCGAAAGAUGAAAAGCACUUUGGAAAGAGAGUCAAAAAGCACGUGAAAUUGUUGAAAGGGAAGCGCUUGCAGCCAGACUUGCCCGCAGUUGCUCACCCAGGCUCCCGCCUGGCGCACUCUUCUGCGGGCAGGCCAGCAUCAGUUUGGGCGGUUGGACAAAAGCCUGCUAAAUGUACCUCUCCUCGGGGAGGACUUAUAGGGUAGGUGGCAUACAACCAGCCCGGAUUGAGGUCCGCGCAUCUGCUAGGAUGCUGGCGUAAUGGCUGUAAGCGGCCCGUCUUGAAACACGGACCAAGGAGUCUAACAUCUAUGCGAGUGUUUGGGUGUCAAGCCCGGGCGCGUAAUGAAAGUGAACGGAGGUGGGAACCCUUUGGGUGCACCAUCGACCGAUCCUGAUGUCUUCGGAUGGAUUUGAGUAAGAGCAUAGCUGUUGGGACCCGAAAGAUGGUGAACUAUGCCUGAAUAGGGUGAAGCCAGAGGAAACUCUGGUGGAGGCUCGCAGCGGUUCUGACGUGCAAAUCGAUCGUCAAAUUUGGGCAUAGGGGCGAAAGACUAAUCGAACUAUCUAGUAGCUGGUUCCUGCCGAAGUUCCGCCCUCAGGAGAAACAA